rnacentral:rRNA from 1 species
UCGGGAAUUUUGGGCAAUGGGCGAAAGCCUGACCCAGCAACGCCGCGUGAAGGAUGAAAUCCCUCGGGAUGUAAACUUCGCAAGAACAGGAAGAAUAAGUGAGAGUUAAUAUCUCUUACGAUGACGGUACUGUUUGUAAGCUCCGGCUAACUCCGUGCCAGCAGCCGCGGUAAUACGGGGGGAGCAAGCGUUGUUCGGAUUUACUGGGCGUAAAGGGCGCGUAGGCGGCCACCGCAAGUCGAUUGUGAAAUCUCCGGGCUUAACUCGGAAAGGUCAACCGAUACUGCGGGGCUAGAGUGCAGAAGGGGCAACUGGAAUUCUCGGUGUAGCGGUGAAAUGCGUAGAUAUCGAGAGGAACACCUGCGGCGAAGGCGGGUUGCUGGGCUGACACUGACGCUGAGGCGCGAAAGCUAGGGGAGCGAACGGGAUUAGAUACCCCGGUAGUCCUAGCCUUAAACGAUGAAUGCUUGGUGUCUGGGGUUUUAUAGUCCCCGGGUGCCGUCGCUAACGCUUUAAGCUA